GAGAGGCUUUAUUCAUUUACUGUUAUUUCAGUCAUGGAUGACAACCUCUUUGUUCUAGGUGCUGUAAAUUUGUAGAACAAACCCAGUGUUCCUGUGCCAAAGAGCAAGUCGGUUGUGUGUAAGGUGACACUGACUGAUACAGACACUCAGGAUUAAUGAGUGAGGGUCAGUGUGGAAGGCUGAGGUUUUGAAAUAUUGACAGGCAAACCACUCUCUCAUAUGUUAUACCUCCCGAGGAAAGGACAGUUCUGAGUAAGGCUUUAAAAUAUCAUAUAUAACUUACUUCUUUUUGCAUAUAUUUACUUUACAGCGACAAAGAAGGACGGGAAAAAGCACAAAUUUAAUAGAAAAUCAAAGCUGGGGAGGUGAGAGUCUACACGUGGAGAGUGAAUGAAAGUUGAUGAUGAGUUACAUAAUAGUUUGGAGUGAUCUAGAGAAGUGAAAACAAGGAGCUUAAGUUUUAUAUGUGCGAGAACAGAAAUCAGUGGACAAGGAAAGGUUGCAUUCAGAGUGUGAGUCCAAGAAAAGGGCCUCGCAGCAGCCAGUCUGCAUGGGGACAUGGACGUGUUUGUCAAGGUCAGAGAAAAAGAAUACUCUGAGAUGUCAGAGAGACCAGCCGAAACUUCAGUUUGAACAGAUAAAGACAGAUCCUGAGCAGAAAGUGCAUAUAAGACUGGUCAACUUAGAGGCAAUAGCUAAAUUCAUAAUUUUUCAGAGAAAAGAGAGGGCCAAACAAGGAUCUGAGAGAAAUCCUUGCUGAAUCCCUACCCAUAAGUGAAAGAAGACUGAUAAAUAGCCUCUGAAGGAAAAAUUAGAAAAGUUUCAGGAGAACCAAGAGAUAACGAAGGCACAAAAGCGAAAGGAAGAAAAGACUUUAAGUAGAUGGCAUGUCUGGUGUUGUUUCAGGUGGCCGACAGGUGAACAGGGAUAGGAGGAAGGCUCAUUCAUUCUGCAUCUUUACCUUGAAGAGACCAUUAGAGACUUGGAUUGGUUUCAGGGGAGUGAAAGGAUAGGUGUCAGAUUUGAGAGGUCCUAGGAUGUAAUAUGAAGAGAUUUGAAGAUACAGUAUCGUAAAUAAGUGUCUUCAAUGUGUUUAGAAAUGAGACAUAUCUAACGAGUGGAAAAGCAACUGAAAACACAAGUACAAAGUACAAGCAAAAGAUUUUUUUUUCUUUUCACAAUGAAUAAAUUUCCAUUUUCUUGUAUGUCGAAUAGGAAAGAGCUGCAAAAGAGUAAGAAUCUAAAGAAAACAGAAAGGUUAUUUUGCCCAUUUUCUCCAUCCUGAUAAAUAUAGGCAGAAAUAAAGCACCAGUUGAGAAGACAGGAGAGAGCAGUAAAAAGUUUGCUGAAUUUGCAAGAGAUUAAGUAGGGCAGUUUUAGAGUUGUUAAUGUUCACUUUAAAAGAGGGUCGAACUGAAAAAGAGAAUCUCUAGUCGUGUAUCCAUAGUCACCAGUGGUCAUCAGCAGCAUGGUGCAAUAUGACAGCAGCAGCCAUAUGUCGUAGACUGCUCCAAAGGAGGUAGGAUGAAGGAGACAUAUCUAUAGAAGAGGGCAAUUAAACACGUAGAAGUCAUGCCUGCUUUGUGAGUGAUUAAGACUUUUUUUUUUUCUUCCUAAAAACACUGCACAACUGGUCCAUCAGCAAAUCUCUUGUCUGGAAAAGUUGACACUUCUUUGUGAAUAUGUUCAAGAAGCUUUCAGGCAGGAAAUACAUUCCAGAUCAUUCACCUAGUUGGGAUAGGAUGAACUUUUCUUUAAAUCAUCCAUCCAGCAAGCAGUAGCAUGAAAUCGGCUGUGCUCCUGGAAGACUGGACGAGGACGUGUUUAUGGUGCUGAUUCUACGUUUACGGUGUUUAGGGCAGCUCGCGGGAGGGUGAGCUCUCCGCAGGAUGGUCUCCAAGAGGAGCUGCCGUGCGGAAGCGGCCGCCGCCGCUGCCCUGCACACUUGCCUGCUUCCGAGGCUCCGGCGGCGGCUGUGCUAAGCCAAAGGGAGCGGUGACGGUCAAGCUCUGACUCGUGAGGUAUCUAUCCACUCUACCAGAAGCGGAAAGAGUAACCUGCAGAAAAUAGGCUAUGACAGCUUGAUUACUGAUUUUUUAAAAAGGAAGAAGAAAAUAAUGAAGAGGCAAAUCUGCUGCGGAAGUGCACCUCAGAUCUGGAGCUGUGCUGCAGACAUCGACCAGCAUCGUUUCCCCAACCCAACCCCUUCCUCUCAUGUAAAGAACUGAAAUGCAGCAUCCCAUCAACAUUGUGGUUGCAGAGAAAGCCCAGUGCCGGCAGCAACGGACGGUCUGGUGUCCUCGGGCUGAGACGUGCCUGUGCCACACAGAGGGACGGGACACCCCGGCUUGUGGUGCCCCAGGCCAU